GGUGCUCAGCGCCCGACCUCCACCCUUUGUUGUUAAAACUACCUUGUUGCUUUGGCGGGACCGCUCGGUCUCGAGCCGCUGGGGAUUCGUCCCAGGCGAGCGCCCGCCAGAGUUAAACCAAACUCUUGUUAUUAAACCGGUCGUCUGAGUUAAAAUUUUGAAUAAAUCAAAACUUUCAACAACGGAUCUCUUGGUUCUCGCAUCGAUGAAGAACGCAGCGAAAUGCGAUAAGUAAUGUGAAUUGCAGAAUUCAGUGAAUCAUCGAAUCUUUGAACGCACAUUGCGCCCCUUGGUAUUCCGAGGGGCAUGCCUGUUCGAGCGUCAUUACACCACUCAAGCUAUGCUUGGUAUUGGGUGCCGUCCUUAGUUGGGCGCGCCUUAAAGACCUCGGCGAGGCCUCACCGGCUUUAGGCGUAGUAGAAUUUAUUCGAACGUCUGUCAAAGGAGAGGACUUCUGCCGACUGAAACCUUUUAUUUUUCUAGGUUGACCUCGGAUCAGGUAGGGAUACCCGCUGAACUUAAGCAUAUCAAUAAGCGGAGGA
rnacentral:rRNA from 1 species